GUCGCUUUGUGACGAGCGUUCCUUUUAUUUAGCUCUCGCAAAUUAUGGGCCAGCAAUAGUGAAAACGGGCAUAAAACAGAAGCUGAUGUCGUCUGUCGUGUAAAAGAAAAGUCGUGUAGCUUUGCGUGAGCUAUUGCGUUAAACCUAAGAAUUUUUAUCGACGGGCCACACCUACGCCUAGAUCCCGAAAGGAGAUUUUUGUGCAAGUGUUUCACAAGUUUUCACGUCUUGCUUUUUGAGAAACUAUCCAUCCGAACUAAUCUCGAAUGUGAUGGUAAAUCUUUUAAUCAAUAUUCUUUGAAGCUUAAACUUUGUCGGAGCUACUCCCCGGAGUGCAUUAUUCAAGAUGUCUCAAUUAGACAUCAAGGAGUCAUGUGAAACGUCCAGUUAGCUAUGCAGCUCCAUACAACUCCAAAACUUGCGAAUUAUUGAUCAUGACGAGAUUUCGCUCUCGGACAAGCAGUCAUACAAUCAUUAUAUUAAUUAGGAGGGAUCCUUCCGAGGUCAGGACACCCCAUUUUGGCAGAAUAUCGACCAGAUUUGCGUUUAAACAUGUUAAUAGAAACUUUGUUAGUGACUUGCUGGGGAUCAUGGGACCUAGACUAGAUUUUAUCGCCUUGUUACAGAACUCUAUUAAAGCAAGAGUUGGCGUGCGUUAUGGAAAAACUUCACAACUUAUUUAACAAGAUCUAAGACUCGCGCACCGGUUACGUUCAACACGCUUAGACCAUUGUAACCGCUACAAAGCAACCAAUAUGCUUAGACAGCAACAUGAUGGAUAAUCAGGGCUUGCGUGAGCCAUAUUUCUUGCGCCCUACGUAUACGGGGAUUACGGCAAAAACCAAAUUGCCAUACUUUUGCGGCUCGGACAAAGUUUAAUGCCACAGGAAUGAGCAAUUCAAAGACUAAACAUCCAUAAAUUCUACCAGUACCUCAAGCGAAAUUAAAAUUCAUGUUAUAUGACAAAAAUACUUAUUUCAAUACUUAUUUGAAGUGGCCGCUGUCGAGAGUAAUAUUACAAAAUGUAAUUUAAAAAACAAUUAAGAUAUUUAUUGAAUCUUUUUAAUAAGACACAUAAGAGAGGAUUUGCGACAAGAAGACUACUUUGAGUAAAAAUCAACAGUUUCUAAAAUCGGUAUUUGAAUUUAAGGAUUUAGCGAUUACCAGGUAGAACACGCUGUUAUAUAAUUUAGGACUUGGGUCAAAAUAAUAAUAGAAAAAUUUUAAUUAGAACUGAAUAAUUAACAACGACAGUUGCGGCGUUUUUAGGUAUAAUAAAGUUCUCAGCUAUUCAUUAGUGUUAGUAACUGCAGAAAUCUAGGAGUGACAAUAAAAUCACAUUAAUUUUCUGCUAAAGCGCACUUUUCUUUAUUUUUGCAUUUUCCAAAUCACACUGACAGAUAAAUAGUCGUUCAUACUUAAUUCCCCUCAAGCCUCUCUAACUUUUGUUCAUUGUCGACUCGUAUUACUCUUAUCAGAUUUUCUCCCGGCUUGGCGCACUUUAUCGUCCACCACUUCAUAAAUGUUGCUGAAGGCCAGUUCAGAUUGAUGCUCAUAAAUUCAUGGAAAACACUAAAAUCAUGUUACGUUACCAUCACUGCGAAUACUGCAAACGUGAGUUGAAAUUUAUCCCCUACUUUUAUGGCUGCUUGCAUCAGAAUGCAUCAUAUCUAUAUUUAUAUUCCUUCUAUUGAAUGCUGAAUUUUAUCUGCAUAUCGCCUUUCUUGAGGCGCCUUUGCCCAUUAUGUACAUUGUAUUUUACAGCCUUUGAGGCAACAAUAUCUUGAUUUUUUAAUUAAAAAAAACAUUAUUAAAUUUCUUUGGCACACUGUUUCCAAACAAAAUCGUUCCGGUAAGUUAUGAAAAUGAAGUUACAUUAAAGCCAAGCGAUGUGACAAAUAUAACUAGUUAUUUCCCGUGGAUUUUACACAAGUUUGGAACUUCCUCGGAAAUGAAUCUUAAUAAUCUCGGAUUUGCAGCAAGAAACCAUGUGAAAAACAUGGCUGAAAUGUUUUUUCAACUUUAAUGUAGAUUUAAUAGUGAACGAAAGUUCUCCGACUCGACGAACUAUAAGCUCAUUAUUUUGGCCGGCAGCAUCUUGAUAAUUUAUGAAAACACUUAUUGAACUUUCGAACUAUCUGAAGCGUUAGAAAAUAAUGAAUGUUAUAACGAGGUAUUGAAUCCUUAACGUUUGUGUGCUACUUCUGUCUAUUGGGACAAUUGAACUAAAAAACGCGUUAGUGAAUUAGAAGUAAUUUUUGUCGCUAUUUGACAUGCAUGUGGUGGCGUUUAACAGAAUUGACGUCAAGAAUAGGAAACGCCAGUGUGCUUUUGUGCUUUGGCGAAAUUGUAAUUCGGUUCGUCGACAAUGUAGACGUCAAAACUGGCUGUAAUUUGUUUGGAAUGAUUACGUUAUAAAGCAGUCGCAGAAAGGCUGCAGCCUGCACGUCUACGACCAAAACAAACUUGAUGUGCUUGCUGACACCAGAACUUCUCCAGCUUUCUUAAUCUAAUUAGCGUUUAUCCUAAUUAGAGCCCUAAUCAUCUCUUUAAUUAAGUCGCAACGUAUCGCGUCGCGCCGGAAGAAUGUCCGAUAAUUGGCAAAAGCCAGAUUUCAUAUUUUAUGCAGGUACGAAUCCUGGCAAAGUUUGCGGUAAUCCCGAAAACAAAGGGUUCGGCAGUGUGCCAGAUCGAUCGCGGAAAGCAUACCGAAUAGUUUCAACUCACGACUCAGUUGACCGCUUUUUAUUU